UACGUAGGUGGCAAGCGUUGUCCGGAUUUACUGGGCGUAAAGAGCGCGCAGGCGGUCGUUCAAGUCGCGUGUGAAAGCCCCCGGCUCAACUGGGGAGGGUCACGCGAUACUGAUCGACUCGAAGGCAGGAGAGGGUAGUGGAAUUCCCGGUGUAGUGGUGAAAUGCGUAGAUAUCGGGAGGAACACCAGUAGCGAAGGCGACUACCUGGCCUGUUUCUUGACGCUGAGGCGCGAAAGCUAGGGGAGCAAACGGG
rnacentral:rRNA from 1 species